AGGACGAACGCUGGCGGCGUGCUUUACACAUGCAAGUCGAGCGGUAAGGCCCUUCGGGGUACACGAGCGGCGAACGGGUGAGUAACACGUGGGUGACCUGCCCCCUACUCUGGGAUAAGCCCGGGAAACUGGGUCUAAUACCGGAUAUGACCGCAUGUCGCAUGGUGUGUGGUGGAAAGCGUUUAGUGGUGGGGAUGGACCCGCGGCCUAUCAGCUUGUUGGUGGGGUAAUGGCCUAUUAAGGCGACGACGGGUAGCCGGCCUGAGAGGGCGAGUCGGCCGACACUGGGACUGAGACACGGCCCAGACUCCUACGGGAGGCAGCAGUGGGGAAUAUUGCACAAUGGGCGGAAGCCUGAUGCAGCGACGCCGCGUGAGGGAUGACGGCCUUCGGGUUGUAAACCUCUUUCAGUACCGACGAAGCGAGAGUGACGGUAGGUACAGAAGAAGCACCGGCCAACUACGUGCCAGCAGCCGC
rnacentral:rRNA from 1 species